rnacentral:rRNA from 1 species
GAUGAACGCUGGCGGCGUGCCUAAUACAUGCAAGUCGAGCGAACAGAUGAGGAGCUUGCUCCUCUGACGUUAGCGGCGGACGGGUGAGUAACACGUGGAUAACCUACCUAUAAGACUGGGAUAACUUCGGGAAACAGGAGCUAAUACCGGAUAAUAUAUUGAACCGCAUGGUUCAAUAGUGAGAGACGGUUUUGCUGUCACUUAUAGAUGGAUCCUCGCCGCAUUAGCUAGUUGGUAAGGUAACGGCUUACCAAGGCAACGAUGCGUAGCCGACCUGAGAGGGUGAUCGGCCACACUGGAACUGAGACACGGUCCAGACUCCUACGGGAGGCAGCAGUAGGGAAUCUUCCGCAAUGGGCGAAAGCCUGACGGAGCAACGCCGCGUGAGUGAUGAAGGUCUUCGGAUCGUAAAACUCUGUUAUUAGGGAAGAACAAAUGUGUAAGUAACUAUGCACGUCUUGACGGUACCUAAUCAGAAAGCCACGGCUAACUACGUG